rnacentral:lncRNA from 1 species
AUCGGGCUAUUCGUAGUGCCAUCUUUAACGCUCGUAGAACCAUCGGCCACUUUUUCUAGCCUUCGGGGACAACUUCGGGAAGGGUUCAAAAUUUUUUAACAUGUUAAAAAAUCCCCGAAGGUGCGUCCGAUGUUGAGGGUUCGUAUUGAGUUCGUAUCACCAUCCUCACCAUCGUAAUGUCACCGGGAAUGCAUCUUUGCACAUCGUAUUGUAUUCGUGUUUCCAUCGUUUCCAUCGGGCAGUUUUGACAUUACGAUGUCUACACGAAUGAAUCACGAAGAUACCCGAAGGUCUUACGAUGGCAACACGACUUCGUGAAGACCUCG